ensembl:lncRNA
UCUUAACACAAUCCAUCUUAACUACCUCACCUCCAUCAUGUUUGAAUCACUGCUGAAAGUAUUGAAGUUGUUUCAUUAGCCUCGAUGACGUGCGUUCAUGGAAGCUGGGAUGAUUGACACAUGACAAGGACCUCUGUCACCAUGACAACAGGCUCCAAUGGAAACAGAAUUGGGGGAGGCCCCUCCCCCUGCACUACAUAACCCCUCUCUUUGAUCUGGCCUGCACUCGCUCUCCGUCUCUCUGCUGCACUGAGUUUUUCAUUGCUGUUGGUGUUAUUUUUGUUAGCUGACUGAGCCUCAAAGACUGCUGUGGGGAGCAUGUCCACUGACUGUGUGAGGUCACUCUCAGACAAAGCUGAACACACACUCACCAUGCACGAACAUCUCUCAGAUGGGAACACUGAAAUGGACAAUCAGAAGCACAGCUCCAAGGAACAUCAGCAGGACAAAUUGGGACAGAAGAAACCCCGCAGGAAAGACACUCCCGUACUCAACAGCCCUCCACUCAUACCAGGCGUGAGACUGAUAAAGACAGAGGCUCGAAUGAUUCAUCAGGAGGAUGAGGAGAAGGAGAUGAAGAAGUAGAUGUGUUUCAAACAUUUGGUUUUCAGUGUUGUUAGUGCUAAUUUUGAUUGUCGUCUGAGCCUUCAUUAAAUGUAGGUUUUGCAGCUAUUUUUUUGCAUUAUCAUUUCGUCACUUGAGUAUUACAUUGUAUAAACAACUUGGAAUGAAUACAUGGACAGGUGUUUCAGUGUGUGAUUAACCCAUUUAAUCCCACCAUUCACAACAGUGACCGUAAAGAAGGUUUUCAUUUAUAAAGCUCUAAAAAUUUUACUGACUGAUGUUUUAGUGCAUUUUCUAGUGCAUUAGUGUAUUCCUAUGAGUGUUGUAUAAGCGAUUUUAUGCGUAAUAGUACCCUACAAUGAGAUGAAACUGAGUUUAAAAUAGCUGGGCUGAGAUAUAUAAAAUUUUUGAUGACUGCAGAAAUAUGUGAAUUCAGUUACACAUUGUCCCACCGGUCACAAUUGUGACUGACCAUAAAACAGAAUUUUCACACACUUUUCCAAAAAAAAAAAAAAAAAAAGAAUUAUUGAUUUCAAAGGGUUGCUAAUGACACUUCAAAAAUUUGGGAUUAAACGGGUUAAGUAUGAACAGCAGAUUACAUUAACUGGGUAAAUCUCAAGAAACCUGUCAAGAACAUGUCCAUGUCAUAUUUCACCCCAAAAUCAAAAGAAAAUGUUAAUUACAGUAAUUGAAAUAAAAUAUUUUUUAAAUAUUCAAAUGGUAACAUUUGUAGUGCCUUUAUGUUUACAUUUAUUUUUUUAAUUUUGCAUAGAAUGUGCAUCACAACUGAAAAGAACAAUGACAAAAAAAAAGUAAAAUUAUAUUGAUGUGUUUGUGUAUAUAUAAUAAAAAUAUUACAAAUAAAAAAGAAUUUAUAUUUUGCACAAUUAAGCAUAUUUUCCUCCCCAAUUCUUAUUAGGGUUAAAAGAAAGGAAAAAUACAAAACAUUGUUUUUAAAGUACUCAUUCAUCAUGCAAGUUUUAGUGCCUUUAAUUUAUGUUGAUAUAAAUACUAAAUAAAAUGGCAUGGGAAGUAUAGUAUAUUUUUGUAUGGGAAUGCAAUUAAAAACAUAAAAUACUGUAUCAAGGCAAUGGGCGUCACAAUUGAAAAUAAG